CCUACGGGAGGCAGCAGUGGGGAAUAUUGGACAAUGGGCGCAAGCCUGAUCCAGCCAUGCCGCGUGUGUGAAGAAGGCCUUCGGGUUGUAAAGCACUUUUGUUGGGGAAGAAAAGCUACCGGUUAAUACCCGGGAGUCAUGACGGUACCCAAAGAAUAAGCACCGGCUAACUUCGUGCCAGCAGCCGCGGUAAUACGAAGGGUGCAAGCGUUACUCGGAAUUACUGGGCGUAAAGCGUGCGUAGGUGGUGCGUUAAGUCUGUCGUGAAAGCCCCGGGCUCAACCUGGGAAUGGCGAUGGAUACUGGCGCGCUAGAGUGCGGUAGAGGAGAGUGGAAUUCCCGGUGUAGCAGUGAAAUGCGUAGAGAUCGGGAGGAACAUCAGUUGCGAAGGCGGCUCUCUGGACCAACACUGACACUGAGGCACGAAAGCGUGGGGAGCAAACAGGAUUAGAUACCCUGGUAGUCCACGCCCUAAACGAUGCGAACUGGACGUUGGGAGCAACUAGGCUCUCAGUGUCGAGCUACGACGUUAGUUCGUCCGCCGUCGGGAGGUACGGUCGCGACGACGUAGAAACGUUAAAGGUAAAGUUAGUACGGCGUGAGACGUAGCCGACGGACGACGACGAGGGAGGAGGG
rnacentral:rRNA from 1 species